rnacentral:rRNA from 1 species
CACGUAGGAGGCGAGCGUUGUCCGGAAUCAUUGGGCGUAAAGAGCGCGCAGGCGGCUUGGCAAGUCGGGGGUGAAAUCCCGGGGCUCAACCCCGGGACUGCAUUCGAUACUGUCAGGCUAGAGGUAGGUAGGGGAGAUCGGAAUUCCUGGUGUAGCGGUGAAAUGCGCAGAUAUCAGGAGGAACACCGGUGGCGAAGGCGGAUCUCUGGGCCUUACCUGACGCUCAGGCGCGAAAGCUAGGGGAGCGAACAGG